rnacentral:rRNA from 1 species
CGGAGCGGCGAACGGGUGAGUAACACGUGGGCAACCUGCCCCUAGCUCUGGGAUAACACCGGGAAACCGGUGCUAAUACCGGAUAUGACCUCGGAGGGCAUUUUCUGAGGUGGAAAGUUUUUCGGCUAGGGAUGGGCCCGCGGCCUAUCAGCUUGUUGGUGGGGUAAUGGCCUACCAAGGCGACGACGGGUAGCCGGCCUGAGAGGGCGACCGGCCACACUGGGACUGAGACACGGCCCAGACUCCUACGGGAGGCAGCAGUGGGGAAUAUUGCACAAUGGGCGCAAGCCUGAUGCAGCAACGCCGCGUGAGGGACGAAGGCCUUCGGGUUGUAAACCUCUUUUAGUAGGGAAGAAGCGUAAAAGUGACGGUACCUGCAGAAAAAGCACCGGCUAACUACGUGCCAGCAGCCGCGGUAAUACGUAGGGUGCAAGCGUUAUCCGGAAUUAUUGGGCGUAAAGAGCUCGUAGGCGG